GCGGCAGGGGCCGGAAGCCUACACAUGCAAGUCGAGCGGUAACAGAUCUAGCUUGCUGGAUGCUGACGAGCGGCGGACGGGUGAGUAAUGCAUAGGAAUCUACCCGGUAGUGGGGGAUAACCUGGGGAAACCCAGGCUAAUACCGCAUACGUCCUACGGGAGAAAGGGGGCUUUGGCUCCCGCUAUCGGAUGAGCCUAUGCCGGAUUAGCUGGUUGGUGAGGUAACGGCUCACCAAGGCGACGAUCCGUAGCUGGUCUGAGAGGAUGAUCAGCCACAUCGGGACUGAGACACGGCCCGAACUCCUACGGGAGGCAGCAGUGGGGAAUAUUGGACAAUGGGGGCAACCCUGAUCCAGCCAUGCCGCGUGUGUGAAGAAGGCCCUCGGGUUGUAAAGCACUUUCAGCGAGGAAGAACGCCUGGUGGUUAAUACCCGCCAGGAAAGACAUCACUCGCAGAAGAAGCACCGGCUAACUCCGUGCCAGCAGCCGCGGUAAUACGGAGGGUGCAAGCGUUAAUCGGAAUUACUGGGCGUAAAGCGCGCGUAGGUGGCUUGAUAAGCCGGUUGUGAAAGCCCCGGGCUCAACCUGGGAACGGCAUCCGGAACUAUCAGGCUAGAGUGCAGGAGAGGAAGGUAGAAUUCCCGGUGUAGCGGUGAAAUGCGUAGAGAUCGGGAGGAAUACCAGUGGCGAAGGCGGCCUUCUGGACUGACACUGACACUGAGGUGCGAAAGCGUGGGUAGCAAACAGGAUUAGAUACCCUGGUAGUCCACGCCGUAAACGAUGUCGACCAGCCGUUGGGUGCCUAGCGCACUUUGUGGCGAAGUUAACGCGAUAAGUCGACCGCCUUGGGGAGUACGGCCGCAAAGGUUAAAACUCAAUGAAUUGACGGGGCCCGCACAAGCGGGUGGAGCAUGUGGUUAAAUUCGAUGCAACGCGAAGACCUUACCUACCUUGACAUUCUGCGACUUGGUAGAGAUACUUUGGUGCCUUCGGGAGCGCAAAGACAGGUGCUGCUUGGCUUGUUCGUUCAGCUCGUGUUGUUGAAAAUG
rnacentral:rRNA from 1 species